UUUAGGAUUUUCUUCAACUCCAAUUUUGACAUAUUAGGAGGAGGAGCAUCUGAAGGCUGUAAAACAAAAUUAGCAGGAAGUUGGUAUCUCCGGUGGCGGUGGUUGCAGGAAACAAGAACACAGUGAGGCGACGUGCACUAGUGGCAAGCUACUCUGCAGCAGCCACAGAUAUUGAUACAAGCAUGCAUAGAUGUACUGAAGAGGAAUAUUGUUUUGCUGCACCAAUUGUAUGUUUUAGUUUGACAGAAAGGAAACCUGCACUGGAAAAGAAUAUCCUGUUUUGUAUAUUUAAUGUUAUGAUUCAGUUCAACAAAAUUCUUUUUUCUUUCUGAUUACCCUGUGUGAAAGAAAAAAAAAGACUCAUUCCAGUGAAUACUACAAAGGAAAUCUAUAAGUUCAGUUAUACUAAGAAUGUUGUGUGUUCUAGGAGUCA